CCUUGAAAUCUGUUCACAAAUUAUCAUAGGAGAUGGAUGUUAAUAGCAUCUGUCUCACCUGACCACAAUGAUGUCUGCUCAGUGAAACCAGACUCUGUGCACCUGCUACAUCAGAAGUGAUGUGGUGGAGCUUUAAUCUUUAUGAGUGUGGAGGCUCUGCUACAUGUGUGGACUCGUUUAGUCAUGAGGCGUGGGCGCUGAAGGUCAGCUGAUGUUUGUAUGUGUGUGCUAUCUUUCUCUCAUAGUGUGGCCAUGGGGAGGGAACAGCAGGAGAAUAAGAGAGCCAUUCAAAGCACCCGACACGAGCUGUCUCAGCAGUCUGCAACGCUCAUUAUUUCUCAACAUCAGCUGAAAGAUGCCACAGCUGAGGUGUCUAAACAACAAAAUCAUCUGAAGGAACUCAACAGAGAGUACAGGGCACGCCUUACAUUCUAUAUUCAGGACGUGACAAUUGAUCUUUUAAUGCGCUGUAGGAGUGUGUAACUGCGGCCGGUGAUGGUGAUUUGGGACAGAAGUUGAAGGGGUUUGUUGAGUCCAUGCUGGAGGAGGUGAAAACAUCCUAUCACUCCAGAGAGGAACAGCUCACCAAAACCAUCAGAUCGUACCGCAAACGCAUCCAGGGUCUGAGCAACACCUAUCAACAACUGCUUAUUGCUUACAGACUGCAAUGUGAGCAGAUCCUGGCACUCCCUGAACACGCUUUAGAGGCCGGACCCCCUGAGGGCCACUUCAGUCCCGCGGGGGCCGAACUGAGAGGAUAGACCGAGAGAGAGCUACACAGACUGAGAGAGGACAAAGCCCGCCUGGAGAGCCAACUGAAACUGGCUCGAGAACAGGUGUGUGUGUGUGUGUGUGUGUGUGUGUGUGUGUGUUAUUUAAUGGCUUAGUUCUGUGAUCAUGUGCUUGGUAUUUCAGAUGGCUGUGUUAACAGAGUCCUCUCAGAGGUGAGUAUCAUUCAGAGUUAUGAGUAAAAAGUAUUGUGCUGAUUUUAUGUAUUAUUGUGGAAAGAUUGUGCAGGGUUGGACUAACCCAAGAUGCCUGGAAUGAUGUUAAAAAGCAGCUCAAAGAAAUAACAAACUCCAUGCAAGUAACCAACACCAACCCUGACCACCCCUAACUACCCA